rnacentral:rRNA from 1 species
UGGGGAAUUUUGGACAAUGGGCGAAAGCCUGAUCCAGCAAUGCCGCGUGUGUGAAGAAGGCCUUCGGGUUGUAAAGCACUUUUGUCCGGAAAGAAAUCCUUGGCUCUAAUACAGUCGGGGGAUGACGGUACCGGAAGAAUAAGCACCGGCUAACUACGUGCCAGCAGCCGCGGUAAUACGUAGGGUGCAAGCGUUAAUCGGAAUUACUGGGCGUAAAGCGUGCGCAGGCGGUUUGCUAAGACCGAUGUGAAAUCCCCGGGCUCAACCUGGGAACUGCAUUGGUGACUGGCAGGCUAGAAUAUGGCAGAGGGGGGUAGAAUUCCACGUGUAGCAGUGAAAUGCGUAGAGAUGUGGAGGAAUACCGAUGGCGAAGGCAGCCCCCUGGGCCAAUACUGACGCUCAUGCACGAAAGCGUGGGGAGCAAACAGGAUUAGAUACCCUGGUAGUCCACGCCCUAAACGAUGUCAACUAGUUGUUGGGGAUUCAUUUCCUUAGUAACGUAGCUAACGCGUGAAGUUGACCGCCUGGGGAGUACGGUCGCAAGAUUAAAACUCAAAGGAAUUGACGGGGUCAUAGCUG